GAGGGUAUAGCUCAGUGGCAGAGUGCAUGCUUACCAUGCAAGAGGUCCUGGGUUCAUUCCCCAGUACCUCCA
rnacentral:tRNA from 1 species